AAAAGUAGAGGUUGCGUGAAUUAUGAGUAACAGGCCGGAUGCAGCAGGUGCAGAUGAAGGCUUGUGAAAGGGAGGAGCGCCGAAGAGGAGUAUCACCUGACAGUACGAAUCUGGGCAUAGGGCUAAGAACCGUAUGACUGUCAUCCUUGCGGAUGGGGAGCUACUUA
rnacentral:ncRNA from 1 species